rnacentral:rRNA from 1 species
AACGAACGCUGGCGGCAUGCCUAACACAUGCAAGUCGAACGAGACCUCCGGGUCUAGUGGCGCUCGCGUGCGUAACGCGGGGGAAGCUGCCCGUAGGCACCGAAUACUUCUCUGUAAGGGGUGCUAAUACAGGAUAACGUACUCUGAUACAAGAUUUAUCGCCUUUGGAUGGGCCCGCGUUGGUUUAGCCGGUUGGGAGCGUAAAAGCCUAUCAAGGCGUGGAUCGAUAGCUGGUUUGAGAGGAAGAGCCGCCACACUUGGUCUAGGACACGGCCGGGAAUCCUACGCGAGGGGGGAGUGGGGGAUAUAGCACAAUGGGCGAAGGCAUGAUCCAGCAAUGCCGCGUGAGUGAUGAAGGCCGUAGAGUUGUAAAGCUCUUUUACCCGGGAUGAUAAUGACGGUACCGGGAGAAUAAGCUCCGGCUAACUCCGUG